AAACCAACAGGGAUUGCCUCAGUAACGGCGAGUGAAGCGGCAAAAGCUCAAAUUUGAAAUCCUUCGGGAAUUGUAAUUUGAAGGUGGCUCAAGCAACCCCAAAAGUUCCUAAGUCCAUUGGAAAAUGGCGCCAUAGAGGGUGAUAGCCCCGUCUGGAACACUUUUGAGGCCUAUCUUGGACCACCAAAGAGUCGAGUUGUUUGGGAAUGCAGCUCUAAGUGGGUGGUAAAUUCCAUCUAAAGCUAAAUAUUGGCGAGAGACCGAUAGCGAACAAGUACAGUGAUGGAAAGAUGAAAAGCACUUUGAAAAGAGAGUGAAAAAGUACGUGAAAUUGUUGAAAGGGAAGGGCUUGCAAGCAGACACAACUUUUUGUUGGGCCAGCAUCGGGGCGAGGGGGGUCAAAAAUGCAUGGGAAUGUAGCUCAUUGAGUAUUAUAUCCCAUGUUUCAUCCCCAUCUCAUCCCGAGGCCUGCGAUUCUAGGAUGCUG
rnacentral:rRNA from 1 species